rnacentral:rRNA from 1 species
GCUUGUCAUCUUUAGGGUUCUCCAGGUGUGCACGUAUUGGGGGACCCUGGAGGGCCAUCUGUUCUGGAUGCGUUCCGAGUGGGGACUGCGGGGCUAGGAUGUCGGCUUUCCCUUGAAUCAUUUCCAGGGCCUAUGUCAUUUCAACCUCUCAAACAGGGUUAAAAUGUUGAAUCGGGUCUUUUUGUAGCUAUAAAGUUAUGAAUACAACUUUCAGCAAGGGAUCUCUUGGCUCUCCCAUCGAUGAAAAACGCACCGAAAUGCGGGGAGUGGUGUGAAUUGCGGAAUUCAGUGAAUCAUCGAAUCUUUGAACGCAUCUGGCGCUCCUUGGUAUUCCGAGGAGCAUGCCGGUUUGAGUGUCAUUUAAAUUCUCAACCACGGCUUGGUGUGGCUUUGGGGGUGGGGGUUUUUUGCGGGCUUUCCAUUCAAGUCGGCUCCCCUGAAAGGUGUUAGUGGUAUCUGGAGCAGAAAGGGCUAGGUGUGAUAGUAUCAUCUAUGCCUGUGGUAUGCUGCAUGAGCAGAUUGUGCUGCUUCUAACACACAUUUUGAUUUUGACAAACUUGACCUCGAAUCAGGUAGGACUACCCGCUGAGCUUAAGCAUGAUC